rnacentral:rRNA from 1 species
CCUACGGGUGGCAGCAGUGGGGAAUAUUGCACAAUGGGGGAAACCCUGAUGCAGCGACGCCGCGUGAAGGAAGAAGGUUUUCGGAUCGUAAACUUCUAUCAGCAGGGAAGAAGAAAGUGACAGUACCUGACUAAGAAGCCCCGGCUAACUACGUGCCAGCAGCCGCGGUAAUACGUAGGGGGCAAGCGUUAUCCGGAAUCACUGGGUGUAAAGGGUGCGUAGGCGGUAGGGCAAGUCAGAUGUGAAAGCCCGGGGCUCAACCCCGGGACUGCAUUUGAAACUGUCUUACUAGAGUGCAGGAGAGGAAAGCGGAAUCCGUAGUGUGGGGGUGAAAUGCGAAGAUAUUAGGAAGAACACCAGGGGCGAAGGGGGUUUUCAGGACUGUAAUUGACGCUGGGGCACGAAAGGGUGGGGAGCGAACAGGAUUAGAUCCCCAAGUAGUC